UCCAACCGCCCUUGCAGCCUCCAGUUGUCAUGGAAACGCAUCACUCCCACACCUGUCCGCUAGCCAAAAAACCUCAACUUCAAAUGAACAAAUCACUGGGUGGGAGUGGAGGAAGGGAGGUGUUGGAAGCUAAAAACUUGGAUCACUGCAGCCCCCCUGGUCGCUUUAACCUCAUUAUUUAUUUACAACUAAACACUAAUGCGACUUGCUGCUCUUGAUUUUCGGCACAACAAACACAAAAAACGUCUGGGAGGAAUUCAGUUCCACCCAGAAGCCUGCAAACCUCUCCUGGUGUGCCAGAACAGACCACCUCCUCCCUUUUCAAACGAGGACGACUGCAACAAGCAGCAAGACAGCCACAGACUACCACGCUCUAAAAUUCAUUUUGGUCUGCCCUCUCUUGUAGUGUUCCUGAGGGAAUACAUUUGCUCAAUUGCUUCUUACAGCACUAAGGGAAAUUAUUUUUUUUAUUGAAACCAUGCAGGUACUGUGAAUGAAAACAGGAGAGAGGCUGCUGUGCCAAAGCUGUAAGGUACCCAGUAUGGUGAAGGCACUGCAUUGCACCAAACCCAAGAGAAGAGGGACAGAGAGAGAAAGGGAGGGGGGGAGAAAGAGAAACAAAGAGACAGAGGGAGAGAGGAGGGGGUGAUAGAGCAAGUACAAGAUUAACCAGGAGAGAAAGAAAGAGGGGGAGAGAAACAGAAGGAAGGGGAAAGAGAGAAAGAGAGAGAGAUGGAGGAUCACUUUGGAAGGAUUUCUCCCUGACUGACUGUAGUAGAUAUCAAAGGGGGGCGUGGGACUAUGGCCAGAUUCCAGAACAUUCUUUCUUUCUUGCCUUUUGAUUAAUCUGCAAGGAAUCAUUUUUGCAAUUACACUACCUACACAAUCAUUUUUUCACGUCAAUCUUGUCUUCUUCUGUUAAUCAAGAGCAUGCCUAGAUGGUGCACUACACGGAUCUGCCAGAGGGACCAAGCUGAGAAUAGAGCAGAGAGAGAGCCUGUUGCCAUUAUGCCCACCUUUUUAGUUUGACUGUUCACCACUGUGUACCACAUGGAAAAUGAUUGGCGGUAACAUUUCAGGAGAAUCACAUUCCCUCAGAAUUAAGCACUGCUUCAGCUGGCGAGCUGAGGGGAAAGACGGGUGUAGCAGUGCUGGAUGGUUUGGAGGUGGACAAGCUAAAAAAAAAACACAUGGAUCAAUCCUGUGUACCUGGAUAUAGCCGUAACCAGGAUUCCAGGAAACUGCAUUUAUAUCAAUCAACAAGGCAACUCCACAUGGUCACUUGCUGUCUAUCAACAUGUUAAAUACCAGUUCACUUAGAGUCUACCAACACACACAUUCUGUAAGUCACUAUAUUAUACUAACAUUCCAGGUUUAUAAAGGUUAUUUGGAAAUAUAAUGAUAGAUCAACCAAAUAGCCAAGUCAUACAUUCCUUCCAUGUUUUUCUUAAUCACGGAAACCUGUCAUUAGUAACAGGAACCUUUGCUGCUGUAUUUGCUUAUGGCAAGGCAUAGCAUUUGGAAUGUGUUGACUUUAAUGGAAGAAAUUAAAUAUAUUCAUGUGAAGACAUCCUCCAUGCAUGUGUCAGAAUUUACACCAGGGCUGCCAAGGCUUCUCAGUGCUCCUCAAACACAGAUUGCCCUCUCCUCAUGUGCCUUGCUUUAUUCAGACAGGUUGAAAGAAGAGAGAUUGAGAAGGGACCACAGCUGAGGAAGACCAUGGCGGAGGACCAAAUCCCUGCCUGCACAAGGGGACCUGCUCUCGGUCGAAGAGUUGGUCGCCCCACGGACCAUGUCACUUGCCCCACCAUGAAUGACAAGCUUUGAUUCUACUGAUGACAAUUAAAAGUAACUCAGCAUCAGGGAAGCUAAAUGCUAGGUCGUGAUAAAGCUAGCUUGUAGCUAUCCAGCAAAGAGAGUUUCUGUCAUUGAAACACCAUCUUUAGAAAUGUUUCCCUCCUCGGAGCUAGGGAUUGUGUUCAGCAGGUUGUCAUUGAUUGAAACGCUUCCCUAAAUCUCCUGAAGUGCUCUGAUGACAUUUCAGGUAAAACACAACCCCUGGGUCUGAAGAGGGAAACAUAUUAGAAUAUGUGCGUUACUUAGAUCCAUUAAAUCUGUAAGUGGGAAAUUUACAGUUAAUCUGUGCCUAACAAAGCUAAACACUGGGUGUGGCUUGUUUUUGAGCCAGCUACCUUGUAUGCAGCCAUGAAGGCCUCUUAUCAGGCUCUCUGAGGAAUUCUGGGGACUCUGUUUGAAGGUCAUGUUCCCUUUUCUUUUCUUUUUUUGAUACAUCUCUCAAUGCAGCAUAUUUUAAUCAUCACUGCAAAGUUUGUAGCGGAAAAUCGUAAUUAAAUGUACAGUAUGUACCAUUA